rnacentral:rRNA from 1 species
GACGAACGCUGGCGGCGUGCUUAACACAUGCAAGUCGAACGAUGAAGCCGGAGCUUGCUCUGGUGAAUUAGUGGCGAACGGGUGAGUAACACGUGAGUAACCUGCCCUUGACUCUGGGAUAACUGCGGGAAACUGUAGCUAAUACCGGAUACGACCCUCGGAGGCAUCUCCUGGGGUGGAAAGAAUUUCGGUCAAGGAUGGACUCGCGGCCUAUCAGCUAGUUGGUGAGGUAAAGGCUCACCAAGGCGACCACGGGUAGCCGGCCUGAGAGGGUGACCGGCCACACUGGGACUGAGACACGGCCCAGACUCCUACGGGAGGCAGCAGUGGGGAAUAUUGCACAAUGGGCGCAAGCCUGAUGCAGCAACGCCGCGUGAGGGAUGACGGCCUUCGGGUUGUAAACCUCUUUUAGCAGGGAAGAAGCGAAAGUGACGGUACCUGCAGAAAAAGCACCGGCUAACUACGUGCCAGCAGCCGCAGUAA